rnacentral:rRNA from 1 species
AGAGUUUGAUCAUGGCUCAGGAUGAACGCUGGCGGCGUGCCUAACACAUGCAAGUCGAGCGAUUCUCUUCGGAGAAGAGCGGCGGACGGGUGAGUAACGCGUGGGUAACCUGCCCUGUACACACGGAUAACAUACCGAAAGGUAUGCUAAUACGAGAUAAUAUGCUUUUAUCGCAUGGUAGAAGUAUCAAAGCUCCGGCGGUACAGGAUGGACCCGCGUCUGAUUAGCUAGUUGGUGAGGUGACGGCUCACCAAGGCGACGAUCAGUAGCCGACCUGAGAGGGUGAUCGGCCACAUUGGAACUGAGACACGGUCCAAACUCCUACGGGAGGCAGCAGUGGGGAAUAUUGCACAAUGGGCGAAAGCCUGAUGCAGCAACGCCGCGUGAGCGAUGAAGGCCUUCGGGUCGUAAAGCUCUGUCCUCAAGGAAGAUAAUGACGGUACUUGAGGAGGAAGCCCCGGCUAACUACGUGCCAGCAGCCGCGGUAAU